AACGAAUGCUGGCGGCAGGCCUAACACAUGCAAGUCGAGCGCGCCCUUCGGGGUGAGCGGCGGACGGGUGAGUAACGCGUGGGAACGUGCCCUUUUCUACGGAAUAGCCUCGGGAAACUGAGAGUAAUACCGUAUACGCCCUUUGGGGGAAAGAUUUAUCGGAAAAGGAUCGGCCCGCGUUGGAUUAGGUAGUUGGUGGGGUAAUGGCCUACCAAGCCGACGAUCCAUAGCUGGUUUGAGAGGAUGAUCAGCCACACUGGGACUGAGACACGGCCCAGACUCCUACGGGAGGCAGCAGUGGGGAAUCUUAGACAAUGGGGGCAACCCUGAUCUAGCCAUGCCGCGUGAGUGAUGAAGGCCUUAGGGUUGUAAAGCUCUUUCAGCUGGGAAGAUAAUGACGGUACCAGCAGAAGAAGCCCCGGCUAACUCCGUG
rnacentral:rRNA from 1 species